rnacentral:rRNA from 2 species
AAUGCCUAGGAAUCUGCCUGGUAGUGGGGGACAACGUUUCGAAAGGAACACUAAUACCGCAUACGUCCUACAGGAGAAAGCAAGGGACCUUCGGGCCUUGCGCUAUCAGAUGAGCCUAGGUCGGAUUAGCUAGUUGGUGGGGUAAUGGCUAACCAAGGCGACGAUCCGUAACUGGUCUGAGAGGAUGAUCAGUCACACUGGAACUGAAACACGGUCCAGACUCCUACUGGAGGCAGCAGUGGGGAAUAUUGGACAAUGGGCGAAAGCCUGAUCCAGCCAUGCCGCGUGUGUGAAGAAGGUCUUCGGAUUGUAAAGCACUUUAAGUUGGGAGGAAGGGCAAUUAGUUAAUACCUUGCUGUUUUGACGUUACCGACAGAAUAAGCACCGGCUAACUCUGUGCCAGCGGCC